UACAGAGGUCUCAAGCGUUGUUCGGAAUCACUGGGCGUAAAGGGUGCGUAGGCCGCACGGUAAGUCAGAGGUGAAAUCCCGGAGCUCAACUCCGGAAUGGCCUCCGAUACUGCCGUGCUCGAGGACUGGAGAGGAGUCUGGAAUUCACAGUGGAGCAGUGAAAUGCGUGGAUAUUGGGAGGAACACCAGUGGCGAAGGCGAGUCUCUGGGCUGUACCUGACGCUGAGGCGCGAAAGCCAGGGGAGCAAACGGG
rnacentral:rRNA from 1 species